rnacentral:rRNA from 1 species
AACGAACGCUGGCGGCAUGCCUAAUACAUGCAAGUCGAACGAGAAAGUUCCUUCGGGAGCGAGUAAAGUGGCGCACGGGUGAAUAACACGUAGGUGACCUACCUAGUAGAACGGGAUAACAGUAAGAAAUUAUUGCUAAUACCGUAUAAGUUCAGUGAAAGUGGAAGUAACUGAAGAAAGGAUGGCCUCUAUUUAUAAGCUAUCGCUACAUGAAGGGCCUGCGGCUCAUUAGCUAGUUGGUGGGGUAAAG